UCACAGAGCUACUCCCUGAGCAGCAAAAGAUCAUGCCAGAGGUGUACAAAGAGCUUUGGUGCAUGAGAAGGAGUUUUCCUCCUGUCCUGACUUCACAACCUGGAUUGUAAAGUUAAAAGCAGAUGCUACUCUUAUGAGGGUGAUGAGUCCCACAUGUUUAAUGUGCCAAUGCAAGGACAAAAGGCCCAGAGCUGUGAGCCCAAGCGCUGCUGAUAUAGAAAAGGAGAUGGAAAAACAGCAACACAGGCUGAGAAGGGACCUGGAAAAUACCUGGUAAGUGCAAUGUUUUCAGUCUGCUGAGCAGAGCCAGAACUAGAGGAGAUCUCCUGGACCUGUGAUGCCACAUCUCUCCAGACAGGCAGCGAUUCUCACCUCUGCAAGCUGCCUUCAUUUCCAGACUCUUUCUGCCAAUGGAUUUGGUUGGAGGAUCUGCCCUUACUUUCGUAAAAUAUAGAUGGUUCCUUUUAAAAGUCGAUUGUUAUUUAUGACAGGGUAGAACAGGCCGUUCAGCCGAGCUAGGCAAGCUGGACCACGUCCCAUGCGAUACACAAUUGCCUGUGUUUUUUACUAACCACACCAGAAUGCUGCCUUUACCAGUUUAAUAAGCACAUGCUAGUUAAACAGAUGUAAUUCUCGAGGCACUGUAGGAAGUAAAAAUGUAAGAGUGGUUUCUGCCAAGCAUUUGUUCCAAAGAAAUCUGCUGUUCAAUAAAGACUGCCUGUUCUUUGCCCUUC